UGACAAUCUGGCGUGCUCAGUGCGUCCGAGUUGUAAUCUAUAGAGUCGUUUUCCGUGCCGGACUGUGUCCAAGUCCCUUGGAACAGGGUAUCAAAGAGGGUGAUAAUCCCGUACUUGACACAAUGACCGGUGCUCUGUGAUACGUCUUCUACGAGUCGAGUUGUUUGGGAAUGCAGCUCAAAAUGGGUGGUGAGUUCCAUCUAAAGCUAAAUAUUGGCGAGAGACCGAUAGCGAACAAGUACCGUGAGGGAAAGAUGAAAAGCACUUUGGAAAGAGAGUUAAACAGUACGUGAAAUUGUUAAAAGGGAAAACGAUUGAAGUCAGUCGUUGGACUGGAGAGGGCUCCAGGCCCGGGUUUCCUUGGCCCGGGUUGUUAUUUCCCCCCUUCCAAGUCCGGGGUCCAAACAAUUCAAGGUUUUGGUUUCCGGGUGGGAUAAAGGGGGCGGGUUUGGGAAAAGGGUGGGCACCCCUCGGGGUGGUGUUUAUUAAGCCCAAACUGUCGCAUACAUCGGGAUGAGACUGAGGAAUGCAGCUCGCCUUUAUGGCCGGGGUUCGCCCACGUUCGAGCUUAGGAUGUUGACAUAAUGGCUUUAAACGACCCGUCUUGAACGG
rnacentral:rRNA from 1 species